rnacentral:lncRNA from 1 species
GGAAGUACCAGCUUGACCUUGGAGACUACCAUUGCAUCAAGGUUAAAAAUCUGUGCUUCAGGAUUUGAUGAACAUUGGAGAGCAUUUUCUGCAUCCUGCUGGCUGAGGAAGCGUUUUUCCUGCAAAAGGCUGUCGAGAUCCUUGAAGAAGUGGUAGUCGGUUGGUGAGAAGUCAGGUGAAUAUGGCGGAUGAGGCAAAACUUCGUAACCCAGUUUGCUCAACUUAUGGAAGCAUUGGUUGUGCAAUGUGCAUUCGGGCGUUGUUGUGGAGAAGAACUGGGCCCCUUUCUGUUGACCGAUGCGACCGUAGACCUUUCAGUUUUUGACACAUCUCAUCAAUUUGCUGAGCAUACUUCUCAGAUGUAAUGGCUUCACCGGGAUUCAGCAAGUUGUAGUGGAUCAGACUGGCAGCAGACCACCAAACAGUGACCAUGACCUUUUUUGGUGCAAGUUUGGCUUUGGGAAGUGCUUUGGAGUGAGAAGAAUCUAGUUCCAACCACUGAGCUGGUCAUCAUCAGUUGUCAUAUGAAAUCCACUUUUGUCGCACAUCACAAUCCAAUCAAGAAAUGGUUUGUUGUUGUUGCAUAGAAUAAGAUGACGCUUCAAAACGACAUUUUUUUUUCUCAGCUCAUGAGGCACCUAUGAGUGGGUACUUAUUGAGCUUUUUCACCUCUCCAAUUUGCUUCAAAUGCCAAACAACCAUAGAAUGGUAGAUGUUGAGUUUUUCAGCAACUUCUCGUGUUGUUUUAAGAGGUUCAGCUUCAAUGACUGCUCUCGGUUGUUGUCAACUUCCGACGGCCAGUCACUAUGCUCCUUAUCUUCAAGGCUCUCCCCUCCUUUGCAAAACUUCUUGAACCACCACUGCACUGUACCUUCGUUAGCAGUUCCUGAGCCAAAUGUGUUGUUGAUGUUGCAAAUUGUCUCUGCUGCUUUACGACCCAUUUUGAACUCGAAUAAGAAAAUUGCUCAAAUUUGCUUUUUGUCUAACAUCAUUUUUAUAGUCGAAAAUAAACAGCAAGUAAGAAGUCAUUAGCAAAAAACAUAAAGUGAGAAAUGUACAUUAAAGUGAUAUAUAACAUAACAUUUAAUAAUGUAUUCCAGUAUCAAAUGGCAAAUUUCAACAAUGCAAAAAUCGCAGUAACUUUUGCACCAACCUAUACUAUUUAAAACUACAACUUUACACAAAACCAUUUUAUAGCUAACUCAUCCUUUCUUUUCUUGUCAGGUAGGGAUCAGAAUAAAUGCAAAGGUUGACACCUAUCAUGCUUAGAUCAAGAAUACCCAAUCUCUGAGUGAACUUCAUUUCCCUGAAGCUUGGAGAUCGUUGGGCAGAGGAUGAAAGAGUUGAUAAUAAAAUUACAGAUUGUAGUUGGGGUUGGGGGACUGCUACCAAGACUGGAAUUUGCCUUGAAGUCAGCAAUCAACCCUUCAAAGCUAGGCUAAGAAAUCAAAGGCUUGUCAUGUAUUUGUUUUAAGUUUUCCUGCAGGAAGGUUUUUAAGGAUUUAAGAGUUCAAUUUUAUUACACUGAGAGAGGGAGAGAGAGAUUGCUAUCUCUUGUCCUGAAAGAGCAAAUAGCUUGGAUAACCUCAUUUUCCAAAAUGCUAUUUAUACAACUGUGAGGUCAUGGUAGUUUAGGUAGUUUAGACUUCCUGGGUCUUCCUGGAUUGUAGCCAAGUGACUUUUUCAUUUUCACAUUACAAGAAAAAUUGUCAUGUCAUCUUGGAGUGGUGUCACAUUGCUGGGAAGAGCCCAUUUUUAUUGGCAGCAUGAUCCUCAAACCACUGUAUUACCUAUCACCCUGCUGUUUGAUGGAAUGGACCCACUUCUUGUCUGGAGAGUCUAUCCUCACCCUGACUGCACACAAUUCCCCAAACAGCACCUCUGCCAGCCUUGAGUAGAGACUAAAUAUCUGUGUGCUCCAGGAAAAGCCAGAGGACUCAAGAUUGGCCCACUAAGAAAGUGUGAGGCUUGUGGGUGUAGUGACAUCAGAGCCAUUUAUUAACAGUUUGGGUUUAUGUCUUGAUUUCCCAGGGGCAGGGACAACAAUGUGAGCAACUACUUACAGAUCCCACAGGAUCAAGGGGCUUUUUCCCACUAAAUUUAGUCUGCCGGAAACCCGGAUAAAAAAGUCACUCCUCCUUGAAGGAAGUCCCUACCUGCAGCUGCUGGUGUCAGUACUGGAAUCUCAUCCCAGUGUGACCUUCAUUGCCUCUGUCAGUGUGACAGGUUCCACAGAGCUGUCACCCUGCAAACUCACCCUUCCUCCAGGAGCACAGGCGCAGAGCUGCAGUGGAGGGUACCUGUGUGGCUUCCUUGUCUGACACAGAUUUGCCUUCAUCUGGUAAGUCCCACCUCACUCCCCCAGUUCCCAGGAAAGGGCUUUCUUAAACCAGCACAGCCCUGGAAGGGCCUCUCUUGUUUCAGGUGGGAGAACCAGCCCUUGUGGCAUUCUGCAGGGCUUUGAAGUGAAAAGAACACAUGGAUGAUUAUUCUUGUGGUUUCCCUAAUCUGUGUGCGGAGGGCAGAAGGAGCCAGGUGAUCCUGUGUUUGAAAUAAAACAGGUUACUCUUCUGAAAAAGGAGGAAGCAAUUUGCUUCUGUAAGUACAAAUCCUCCUGCUGAACCCCUGGGCCAGCCACCUCUAGCUGGCUUUCAAAUGUGACAAAUUGGUGCCAUUUCCAGUGAUGGCUGUGAGGCACUUUUCACAAGCUCACUUGUUUUUCAGCAGCUCUCACCUCCACAAAGAGACAAAGGAAAACCUAGAGGCCUAGACUGUGGGGAAGAAGUGCCAGAACAAUCUGCUGAAAGUUAAAAAUAAGUCUUAAAGUCAGCUCACUGCUGUCUGUUUUCCAAGGUCAGACUGACUGAUGAUUUUAGUCAAAACAGCCAAACUAGCUUCCCUGUGACCUCUGUUCAAGGUGGCUCCCCGUGGCACACCUGAUGGCAUCCAUUCAUGGUCCUACUGCUCAGAGGGCCUAUGCUGCCAUGUGUAAGAGCUGAAAAAUAAGCAAUGCAUGACAUCUUCUUCAAUGAGCUUUUAUACCAGUAGCUAUUCACAGGGUUCUUAUGACUAGCUAAAAUAAUUUGAGAAUCAGGCUCUGUGCGAUAUGUUAAUAUUUGGAUACAUUUUCUAAUGAAAUCCCUAUAAUCUCCUUACAGCCCUGUGAGGAGGGUACUGGUCACUACCCCUAUUUUGAAGCAGGCUUUCCCAAUGUGCUGAUUAUUUUCUGUCUGCCUCUCUCCCAUGAGUUCUCCACCCUUCACUACCCUGCACUGUGCUCAGAAGGCUGGUCCUUACAGACAGCACAACCUGACUCCCUUGUGAGCUGACUUUGGUAGGCCUCGGGAGAUCAGAGUAGGAAGAGAAGAGGUCAGGGUGCUUCUUUCCAACUUCCUCCGUCCUUGGGGAGCCAUUUCUUGCAGCAGCUGCAACUCUCCAUGGACUACUCGGCAAUUGGAAGCAGGCUUCCCUCCAAGGUGCUCAUGCUCACUGGGCUCUGGGACAGCAUUUUCUCCUUUCUGCCUCCUGCCCAGAUGAGUGAUGGCUUCCCACUGCUGCUAGACCCUGGAUGCCUCUCUGGCUUGUUUGUUCCCUCUACCCUGUCUUCACCUCCAUAAGUAGCCACUUCAUUAAAGUAUCAUCAUUUGAACCAAUGUGCUAUUGCCAAGACCCUGAAUAACACACCCAGCCAAAAAAGGUGCAGGCCAGAGAUGCAAACUCAUGGUAUUCAACAGUAGGGGAGGAGAAACAUAAGCUGAAAAUAAAACGAAUAAAAUUACAAGAGCUAUGAGAAAGUUACAGAAAGUGUUAUGGGAAAUCAAAGGCCAACAAAAAUACUUUGUAGAAGAUGUAACAUUGUGUUAGGCCUUUGAAAAAUGGACAGAAUGUAGACAGAUGGAUAUGAAAGAGUUUCAGAUAUGAACAAAGACAGCAAGGCAAAAAAAAAGCACAGAGCACAUCUUGGGAACAGAAGUGGUUCAAUUGUAGAAGUGGGGUAAACUUACGGAUGACGUUUUUCAAACUCCAUUCUUUUUUUGAGACAGGGUCUCACUUUGUCACCCAGGCUGAAAUGCAGUGGUACAGUCACAGCUCACUGCAACCUUGACCUCCCAGGCUCAAGCCCCCCAGGUAGCUGGGACUACAAGCACACGUCACUAGGCUCAGCUAAUUUUUGUAUUUUUUUGUAGAGAUGGGAUUUCACCAUGUUGCCCAGGCUAGUCUUGAGCUCCUGAGCUCAAAUUCUGUUCUUUAGAAGGCUUCUAUAUUGUGAACUGUUACUUCUGUAUUGAAAAAAGGAUUCCGUGGUCAAAUAAGAUUGGGCACCUUUGAGAUAAACGAGCUUAACUAGAUUUCUUUAUGCAAGACUUCUCAGAGUAUUUGAAAUGGUAAUAUCCAUAUUUAACUACCUUUUUUUACAGGCAAUUUAUUGACCUCUUCCAGAAGUGUGGGAGGGAAUAGAAUUUGGGAAACACAUAUUGUCCAAUAGCAUUCUUUAAUCCUGGGGGACUCCAUGGUAGAGCAACUCAGAACACCCUGUAGUGGCCAAAUUCAGAGCAUACUGCAAAGAGUUCUGCAGAAAGCCAGUCAAAUGUCAUAAAUCAUGGACAAAUGGCACCUAGAAUGCCACCAUGUAGCCAUAGCGUGAGUAGUGAAAUGUAAUUAGCAGGCCAAGUGGAAACUGAAUUUGUUAUCUGACAUGAACUGUAAGGAAACAAUGGUAAACAGACCCUAAAUGGAAGUUCAGAUUAACAUUCUGGAGAGUGUGAGAGCCCCAGUGGUAAAAUUUCAUGUACACUCACUGUGUCCUGUUCCUAGUGGCUGGCAAGCUAAAUUAUUUCUGAUCUAAUAUUUUUAACCAAUUAGAAUUUUAUUCAUUAAUUUAAUCAUUUAUUAAAUUAACAUUAAAUAAGCCUUUACAAAGAGCUAGGUUCUCUGCUAGACUAUAGCAGAAAACUAUAAAGACUAAAAAGGAAAACAAGACAGAUUUCCUACUCAUAAGGAGCUCUGGACUGCUUGAGUUUCAACAUGUAAAUAUAUAUAAUUACAACAUAAGAUAUAAUUUUAAUACAACCCUCUAAAAAACAUAAGUUAAACUUACAAAUCUAGCACCGAAGGGUUUGGAAGCCUUCAGAGAACAGCUGAUAUUUGAGCUUGAAGGAUGAAUAGAAUUUUCCACAAAGUAAAGGAGAAACCUCAUAAAAGACCCAAAUUCAAAUAUCCAGACCCCACACUGAACCACAUGAAAGCUUACUCCUUAUAAAGGAGUAAAAAGAGAAUCCAACAUUUAUGGAUAAAUAUAAACAAAAAUUGAAAACAAAAUAAUUUUCCAUAAAAGAUUUUUAAAGUUGUAAAGAUUUCAGAAAAAAAAUUUCCAAUAUAAAAUCUUCAUUUUCUCUUUUGUUCUUGAUCAUAAGAUCCAGUAUGCAAGUUAGAGUAGAUCAGAGAAGCCCCAUGCUGGCCACUUCAAAUUUGGAGACUUCAAAUUUGACCAGAGAAAAUGAGAAACACAUAGUUAUUCCAAAAUGUUCCCAAUAUUUCAGUUUACAAUAGUGCCCAGAGCAUACAGGAAAUUGCAAGUACUCAAGUCUAUUUUUCUUUCUGAUAAUUUUAGAUUGGCAUAUUCUAAGUAGGAUUAGAGUAAAGCUUUUACUUGCUGUGCAGCUCUUUUUUUCCUACCAUAUGUACCAAUAUGACAAUUUAACCCUACAAUAAUUUUGUAUGUUAAGCUUUUAUAUAUUACACCUUCACAUAUUUACAUUUAGAGUGCCUGACUACCUAUGUUUCCAAAGACUUAAAAUGAGUAAUCUAUACUUAACAAAAAUAGAAAUUUUUAGAAAGUUUUGAAUGUAAUACAAAUAUAUUUGUUUUCUGUAUUAAGUGCUGUAGAGAUUUGAGUGGUUUAUCUUGUUAGAUUUGUUUUUAUUACAGGAAUUUUACUAUGGGGGUUUUACUUUUUACAAGGAAAAUUUUAAAUUAAACAUUAUAAGAAAAAUGUGAUUUUGCCCUAAAAAAACACUGACAAAUAUAUAAACCUUGUAAUAUUCAUGGUUCAAUAGGUAAUUGUUCAAUGAAUGAACUGAUGGUACCAUAGAGGAGAUUGGAGGAGGAGACAAAAAAUACAACCAUGGCUCUCAUUUGAAUCUAUAAUUCUUCCUGAAUUCAAUAUUAAAACUCUCUUGCCUGUAGACCAGACUGAAGACAAGAUUUGGGGGUGUCAACGGGAGUCCUGGGAUACAUUUUUUCUUAUAAAGUCUGGAUUAAACUUUUUAGCAUGGAUAAUAUAA